GUGUGUGCUAGGAAGGCAGUGUAUUGUUAGCUGGUUGAAAAUCUGACACCAGCUAACUUACACCUGCUACCUUAUUGCACAUAC
rnacentral:pre_miRNA from 1 species